AUGGGAGAGCAAUUAAUGUGCAAGCUUAACCCGACAUCUGACCUGGUGAAGAAACAUCUGGCUCAGAUCCUCGACCAAUGGAACGCGCUCAAACAGACGGCAGCCAAUCAAAUCAAGGCAAUGGGCGGGGCUAAGGCCCUCCAGGAGUUUAAUAAGAAGGUGGACCGUCUGGAGUCGUGGAUCAAAGCGAAGGAGCAGGAACAAUCGCUGGCCAACAUCCUUGGGGAAAACACUGACAAGAUGCAGCUUACCAGGAAGAUACUGGAUUUGAAACAGGAUGAGCAGCUAUAUCAUAAUCUUCAUGAGGAGAUCAAUCAUAUGGCCCUCAGACUGGAAAAACAGGGAAAGACUGAAGGAAAGACCAUCUCAACCCGCAGGAAACAUAUCAACAAAAUGUGGCUGAAGGCCCAGUCGCACCUGAAAGAAUAUCAGGAGAAUCUCCAGCUCGCCCUCGAAGUCUCGUCCUUCUACCAGCAGGCCGAUAACAUUGUCUGUUCCAUCGACAGCAUGGUAGUCAUUUAGCUUCAUUGUGCUAUUUCUGUUCAAACCCUGCAGGAAACCCAGUAUCUGUGGCGUUUCGCUUCGACGUGUCCUCUGAUGCGAAUAUAACCUGACUGUGUCUGUUUGUUGACAUGCUGAUGUAGUCUAAGAAUGUUAUUUACGGUUUGCUCUUCUUUUUUAACUUCUCAUCCAGAGAAAAAGCCUCUCUGCGAGCAACGGAGUGGAAAAUGCCAGAGAUGGGGAAAUUCGGGACGUUGCCAGUCAAAUCAUGAUGCUGGAUGUGAGCGUUUCCCAGCUCUCCAACCUGCACCCGGCGCUGGCGGCCCGCGUCACACAGAAGCAGAGCGAGGUGAAAGACUGCUGGACCGUCCUCCAGAAGACUCUCAGGAACGAAAAGGCAGCUCAACUCCCCUCCACCCCCUCGUUAACCAGGGACAGCAGUGACCCUGAAACCCGGAGCAGCGUGGGAACAGACCCACACAGAAUUAUGGGAAAGGAGGUUAAAGAGGAGCAAAAUCGUCUGAAGGGGUUUACGGCCGGGAGAGAUGCCGAGCACUACGGGAAGCCCGCAGACAGCUGGGAUGCCUGUGCCAGCGAUGUCCCCCUCAAACUCCACACAGCCACUGAAAGCGGGAACGCGUCGAGGCCCGAGUCCAGCGGCCACACACCGCUCCACACGCAACUCCAGAAGUUCACCGUUUCUGCAGACAAGGUGCCUAUUUAUUACCAUUACACAAGACUUACACAAUCGCUUAUGCUGCGAAAGCCCCACUGCGUCCAGUCAGACAGAACAGGGAAGCUCUUCCCGCUUUACUGCUGUUCAGCUGAGAGUUUGGACUCCUCCAGAAUAAACUCACGAGAGGCUGAUUGAUGGGUCUUUGC
rnacentral:lncRNA from 1 species